AUAACUAGCGCCUGUGGAAGAAAGCGGUAAAUAGAAUUCAGUUAGCAUAGCGACAUCUUCCGGCACAUCGCAUGAACUAACAUUUUUGUCCAUAGAAACUACGGCCAUCUACAUUUUUUUACUUUAAAAAUCAGUAGCAUCUGUCUUUUUUGAAGUCUACUUUUUGACGCAUUGGAAGAAUUCUUUGAGUUUCAUAAAAAUAAUUAUCUUAAAGUUUUGUGCAGAAAAAAAUAUCGAAAUAAAAUAAUUGAAUCAUGUUGGAAAAAGAUACAAAUUUAUCACAUUGGAAUCGAUUUGGAUAGCAGCUAUGUCACAUUUCCUUCCGGCUGCAUCGAUCAUUUGCCCUCCGCGUUAAAAAAAACAACAAGACUAGGUUUUUAAAAAUGAAAUGGUGAUUCAAAUGCAUUGCCGGCGGAAUGCAUGCAUCCAACUUUUGUCCUUGCUGCUGGUGCUGAAAGCAACCGCAGCCACGGCUUACAAUCGUUCAAUUUCAAUACCAGCUAUAAAAAUUAAGGACUGUGGGCAUCUACCGUGCCUUUGAUUCACUUCAGUUUCAUCAGCCCAACAGCAGAGAUCCAAUUGCUACUACACCAGUACAUUAAACUCAAAGUAACAAUAUGCCAUCGAAACCAAAAGCAACAUCCGCAGCCGUGUGCCUUUGGAAUUGGAGCAAGUGACAUGGCAAUGUGGACGUGUGAUUUCACCAUUGAGCCACCAUAUCCGAAUUUACUCUUUCCAGAGAACUGGUGCCACCUAUUCUUCAACGUCAUGCUGAUUGGAAUAGUGAAACUUUAAACUUUUUCUCAGUGGCUUCUGGGAAUUUGUAUGAGCAACUUCUUCGCAUAAUAAUAGUUUCUUUUUGUUACAAUCCCAAUGACAAUCAAGCAUUGAUUUUUAUAAACAAGUUUGUUGCACCGGACAUUUACUUUGGAUUAGAGAAUUUUUAAAAUAUGAUGUAAUGUUGUCAACCUUAGCACGUCCAUCCACAUUUAUCAUAUUGACAUGAGAUUGUUAACUUCUCGAAUGAAACAAAAGGAAGGUUUUUAAUACCCCGGUGAACUUCAUAGCCGAAUUGGCAGCUACCAUAAAAGCCACCGACAAGAGGUCGUUAACAAGGAUGCUGAUGGAAGUAGUAAUGUGGAUACUAUCAAAAAUAACCAAAGAUAAAUUGCAACAAGAAUUAGAAUAGAGCUUGGAGAACAGGCUCAAGAUAUAUUACGGACAUCAACAGCGUCGCAAUGCAACCAAAGGACACCAAACCAUUCUAUGGUCAUUAAGAUCAAAAACUUUGAUUUAGCUUUCGAUUAAGACUUACUGCAGAGUGCCGACGUUUGGUCUGGUUUUUCGUAAUGGUCUAGGCAAAACCACACUAAAAUAAAAAAUGAUAUCUGAUCGCCAGUUGACCAUUCGAAGUCAUAUUUUAGGCAUGCACGUCAAGCUAAAAGUUGUUGGUGAUAACACCCCAGCUGUCUAUAGUGUUUUUGAACGUUCAAGGUUACUGAAGAGAGAAGAGCCGAGCUGAAUGGUUCACAAGAUGCCGUGAUAAGUGCAGACUCGAGUUAAGACUACAUUCAUAAUUUGAAUAUAUGGAAACAAUUGAGGAUUUGGGAAAAGCUAUCAACACAUUUGGGGGUUGAGUGGUUUUAGAUCCUCAGAACGAAAGAUUAAUGUACGCAUGCGGCAAUCGAACUGCGAAAGUGAUUGAAGAAGGGUUGAAAGAAUAUAAACGCUAUGUGUAUAGAUUGAAGAAAGUAGCAAAAGCAUUAAUCUUUUUAUUUUAGCUCAGGAAAGCAAAUUCACAUAAAACGAAAUUUAUGUUAUUAAAUUGUAAGUAACAUUGUAAAUGAAAUCAAUAUAUAAAAUUAAUAAAAGUCGUAUAUAAAAUAGGUA